GAACGUUUUUUUUAAUUUGUAGCGCACCGCCUGCCCGUUGACUUUGUUUAACGGCCGCGGUACCCUAACCGUGCAAAAGAAGUUUAAGCACUUGUUCCUUAGAUAGGGACCUGUAUGAAUGCCUCCACGAGGGUGCCUCUGUCUCUUACUUUUAACCAGUGAAAUUGCCCUGCCCAUGAAGAGGCGGGCAUGACACACCAAGACGACCAGACCCUAUGGAGAGAU
rnacentral:rRNA from 1 species